GAUGAACGCUGGCUACAGGCUUAACACAUGCAAGUCGAGGGGAAACGACGGGGAAGCUUGCUUCCCCGGGCGUCGACCGGCGCACGGGUGAGUAACGCGUAUCCAACCUGCCUCUGACUGAGGGAUAACCCGUCGAAAGUCGGCCUAAUACCUCAUGGCAUCGUCUGCGGGCAUCCAACGACGAUUAAAUAUUUCAUUGGUCAGGGAUGGGGAUGCGUCUGAUUAGCUUGUUGGCGGGGGAACGGCCCACCAAGGCUACGAUCCGGAGGGGUUCUGGGAGGCAGGUCCCCCACAUUGGAACUGAGACACGGUCCAAACUGCUACGGGAGGCAGCAGUGAGGAAUAUUGGUCAAGGGGCGGGAGCCUGAACCAGCCAAGUAGCGUGCAGGAUGACGGCCCUAUGGGUUGUAAACUGCUUUUAUGCGGGGAUAAAGUGAGGGACGUGUCCUUCAUUGCAGGUACCGAAUGAAUAAGGACCGGCUAAUUCCGUG
rnacentral:rRNA from 1 species